CCCUCCCGCCCCCAAGUCCGUGUCUUUGCCUGUCUCCUCCGGGUCCUUUUUUUUUUUUUUUUAACUAUUCAUUUAUUUAUUUAUUUGGCUGCACCGGGUCUUAGUUGUGGCAUGCAGGAUCUUUAGUUGCGGCAUGCAGGAUCUUUUAGUUGUGGCAUGCGGGAUCUAGUUCCCUGACCAGGGAUCGAACCCAGACCCCUGUAUUGCGAGCGCAGAGUCUUAACCACUGGACCACCAGGGAAGUCCCCGUCCGGGUCCUUCUGUCUCCCUGCCACCCCUACUCCCCACAUCCACCCUGUGUGUCCUUCUACCACCCAGGUCAGUGCGUACGUGAGGCUCAGCCAGUGCUUCAGACGACGCAGCUGCUGCCCAGUGGGUGCUCCCUGGGUGGCGGGGGCCGGGCUGGCUCUGACUGGGUCAUGAGCGGGAGGGGCAUGCCACCCUUUCUUUAGUCUGUGAGUGAGAAAAGCGCCUGCUGGCUACACCUCACAGGAAGCUCAAGCCAAAGGGUAGCACCUGACAUCAGGUGCGGCACAGCCGGCUGGGUGAGAAGGGGAGGUGAUGCCUCUGGGCUGCUGAGGCCGGUGGCUCCUUCUACCCAGGGCCAAGGAAAUCAGGUCACCCUGCCCCUCUUCCUUCUGCUAGAUGCUGAGGCACCGACUGCUGCCUCUGGGGCAUCGAAGAAAUAUUCAUGGACUAGCCGGCCAGGGCAAGGUACCUGGGUGAGGGUCUCAAACUGGUGGCCCACAGGGCCAUCCCCCCUGCAGAUGGCCUUUGUUUGGCCCACACAGGCCCUCUCACUCUGUUACACAUCUCCCUUGUCCCCUCUCUGCCUCCUGUAUUUGCCUGCCUUGUCUCGCCACUGAGCUUAUGAAUUUAGCAACCCCACCCUAAGAAACACAAAGGUGCUCCAGGAGCUUCUGACAUGGCUGGGAAAAUAAGACCAACAUACAGGCCAAGAGGACUGAGCAUGCCAGACCCAGUGUGUGGGACAGCCAUCCUACUUUUGGAGUUUAGACGAGAGAUCUCCCAUGCAGGUCAUGAUAGAGGAAUGUACAGAGGUGAGUUGCACACUGAGCCUCGCUGGAAGAGGAAUGUUGGGAUGGAGACUAGGGAGGAAUGUUCCAGGAAGGGGAAGGACCGGAGGGGACCGCCUGGAGAAGUUUCACCUGGCUGGGCUUCAUUCCACACGCAGCAGGGGGCACCUCUGAGGUGUUUGCAUAAGGGAGCAAUGACGGUGGCACAGAACAGUUCAAGGAAGGUAGCAGGGGCGGGGACAGGGGUGGGAGCUGAAAAGAGGUACCAAUCUGGGAGGAAGUUUGAAGGAUGUAAAGACCGGGCAGUGUGCAAGCUGAAGGAUCCAAGGACACUAAGCUUGAAGCUUCAGAGCAUCACAGAGGCAAAGCUCUUGAAUCAUGGAGGUGGGGAAGUCGUGAGAAGGCAGCUGCCUGGGGUGGGGUGAGAAGUUGAGAAAUUUUGAUUUCUCAAUGUGUUACAUUGAGAAAUCAAAAUGUAACAAAUGUGUUACAUUUGAUGGAUGAAAAAGGUAGCAGGCAUUUAGAACCGUGGACCCAGAGAUGGAGGUGGUGAUUUAGGGCGGCAGUGGAUUAGAGCAAGAAUCCCAAGGGAGAUGUGGAGGGGGAAGAAAAAAGAAGAAGAGAGAGGGAGAGGCAUUGGGGAAGAAGACGGGCGUGGAAUCGGAGAGGGAGAGCAGAGAGGACAACCUUAAGAAAGAGGUCCACUGACAUCAUCAAGUUCAGAGGAUUCAGGAAAAGCGGAGCAGAGCAAAGGCUGGGGUCUGGAGCCAGGGAGUGGCAGACGUUUUGGCAGGUGUGGAGAAGACGGCCACAUAUGUCACAAUCAGAGAGACAGCACCGGUGGAGAAGAGGCUCCUUAUCUCAAGGAGCUCGUGGUAGAUACAAGUGAUGUCACCGAUACCGACACCGGCUUGUGGUGAAGGAAGGUACAGCAUUCAUCUGCGGGGCGCCAAGCGGAGUACUGGCGACCUGUGCUCAAAAGACCUAAACUCCCCCCACCCCUUGGAUUUCACGGAAGGAUUUUGAAAGGCAACAUUUGGGGUGAGAACUGCCAGGGGCAUGACUUUCUUCUGAUUGGCUGGUGGUGAGGUAACAGGGUGAUGUUUCGGGAAUCUUUUUUUUUUUUGUUUUGUUUCGGGAAUCUUAAUCAUCAACCUUCAGGUUCCAACCAGUCUGGGGUCUACUGCCUGGGCUCAGCAUGUAGUCACUGUCCUCCACCUGGGUGGCAGGGGGAGCGGGGGUGGCGGUGGAGGUCUUAGUUUUGGCAGAAGGUAGUGUCACAUUGUGAUGUAUAUCCCUUGAGGACUCUGGGAUAUAGGGCUAGGACUGGGAUAUAGAACGUGGACUCUGUUUUUUCGCUGAACUAUUGUCAUUACUUUUCUUAACUGCUUUUCCUUUGUUUUUGCGUUCCCUCACUUCUCGCUAAGUAACUCCUUGUUCCUGCUCUGGAACUCAGGGAAGUUCUAGGAGUCUAAAGCCUUUUUCUACAAACAAGAAAUGGGGGACACGGAGGGGCUUUUGUAUCUGGGAGAGCGCCGUAGGGUCCUGCUCGGUUGUGACAGUAAGAACAAAAGGAGAGUCCUGGAAGUUUGAAGGCAGAAGGAGACAAUGGUGAGAAAAGUACUGAAUCUGCUACGGAGAGAUGAUAAAAUGAAGAAAAGGCUCAGACGCGGUGGAGGGGGUGGAUGGAGACGCCAAGCUUGGAUUUCACAACGGGCUGCAUGCCCUCACCCCUCAUCUCGGGCCCGGCCCUGGGUCCCCCCACUGUCUGUGCCCCUCACUCUUGGACUUGGGCAGCAGAGGGAAGUCGGCAGCUGGCCAGGCUCCCCAGGCACAAGCAGACAGACAGGAAGUAAAAGUGGGUAACCACGAGGAAGGGGGGCGGGGCGAGGCCUGGGUUAAUCAUCACAGUUCUUGGCGGCAAGUUCUCAGCCAGCCUUUGCUGAGGUGGCGAGUGACGACAGAUUUAAAGUUCUCUCGGUGGCAGAGUCUGUCUCUUCACGAUCUGGUUACCCACCCACGCUGACCCCACAACGAGCACCAGGCCAACAGGCCCUGUGGAUAUAGGAACAUCAACAAGCAAGGAGGUGCCUUCGAGGAUGACCUCACUGGAAAAGCAAACAUACACCCCCGGGGCAGGGAAGGAGGUGCGUGUUCACAGCUGGGCUGGAGGCUGCUCUAGAGACGGCAGGGCAGGAAGGGAAGACGGAUGGAUGAAGGAGAGUGGUCUUGGUCUACACUGCGAGGCACAGUGUGAAGGGGAAGACAGAUUUGUGCAGGAAUGACAAGUAAAGAGCUGGAAGGAGAAAAAAAAAAAAAAAGCCUACUGCUGGGGAUGAGGGUCCAAAGGUCUCAUUCUGAAAGAAGUUCUGACUGUGGGUAAAAUGUUACCUAACGGUACUGCACGCUACAGAGAAAGUGUUCUUGAACAGAAGAGUUGAUUGAUGCGGCCAACUUCAUUAUCUUCUUAUUUUAAGAAACUGCCGCAGCCUCCCCAGCCUUCAGCAGCCACCGCCCUGAUCAGUCAGCGGCCACAGCAUCGAGGCAAGACCCUCCACCAGCAAAAGGAUUAUGACUUGCUGAAGGCUCCGAUGAUGGUUAGAAUUUUUUAGCAAUAAAGGUUUUUUUUGCGGUACGCGGGCCUCUCACUGUUGUGGCCUCUCCCGUUGCGGAGCACAGGCUCCGGACGCGCAGGCUCAGCGGCCAUGGCUCACCGGCCCAGCCGCUCCGCGGCAUGUGGGAUCUUCCCGGACCGGGGCACGAACCCGUGUCCCCUGCAUCGGCAGGCGGACCCUCAACCACUGCGCCACCAGGGAAGCCCUAAAGUAUUUUUUAAAUUAAAGUAUGUACAUUGUUUUUUAGACACAGUGCUAUUGCACACUUAAUGGACUACAGUAUAGCGUAAACAUGACUUCUAUGUGCACUGGGAACCCCCUCCCCCCCAAAAAAGGUCUCAUUCUGACAGAGAGUUCAGAGAUGCUAAAGAGGGAGAUUGAUAUUGAUGAAGGAGACGUAGGUGGGCCAUUAGGCCACUGACCACGUGUGACCCGAAGGAGAUCUAAAACAUCCUGAGCCUUGAAACUGGCAUUUUCUCUUAUAGGCUUACAGGUGGGCACCUAACUCGUAGUUUGGCAAUACCCUAUAAAUGAGAACAUUCACAUAGCCUAUAACCCAGCUACUCCACCCGUGCUAGGACACACACGCACGGACACAUACACCUUAUGAUGGACUAUUAUGCAGAUUUUAAGGGAAAAGAAUCGGGGAGCUCUAUAUGCAAAGGUAUCUAAAAAUGUUAAGAGAAAAGAAUCAGGGAGCUCUAUAUGCAAAGUAUCUAAAAAUGUUAAGUGAAAACAACCAGUUGUAUAACUGUGUGGUAGGAUUUCACUUGAUUAAAAAAAGAAACAUGGUAUGUAUUUUAUAUUAUAGAAAAACAUAAAUACUUUCUAUGUGUCUAUCACAGGAAUUUUUUAAGAAACCACUUUGUUGAGGUACGAUAGACAUACAAAAAUCUGUACAUAUUUAAUUAUAUUAAAUGAUGUCAUGAGUUCACAA